rnacentral:rRNA from 1 species
GACGAACGCUGGCGGCGUGCUUAACACAUGCAAGUCGAACGGUGAACUCCGCUUGCGGGGGGAUCAGUGGCGAACGGGUGGGUAACACGUGGGCAACCUGCCCUCAGCUCUGGGAUAACUCCAAGAAAUUGGGGCUAAUACCGGAUAUGACCGCUGACCGCAUGUUCUGGUGGUGGAAAGAUUUAUCGGCUGGGGAUGGGCCCGCGGCCUAUCAGCUUGUUGGUGGGGUAGUGGCCUACCAAGGCGACGACGGGUAGCCGGCCUGAGAGGGUGACCGGCCACACUGGGACUGAGACACGGCCCAGACUCCUACGGGAGGCAGCAGUGGGGAAUAUUGCGCAAUGGGCGAAAGCCUGACGCAGCGACGCCGCGUGGGGGAUGACGGCCUUCGGGUUGUAAACCUCUUUCAGCAGGGACGAAGCGAAAGUGACGGUACCUGCAGAAGAAGCCCCGGCCAACUACGUG